rnacentral:lncRNA from 1 species
CAAAUUAUCUUUCUCAUCUCAAUUAGUAAUAUGAGCUGGUGAUAGAAAUGUAAUGUGCCAUGUCCAUCUGGUUUUCAUUUAUCUCUGUGGAGUGGUAAAGACAGGAAGUACCAUAAAUUAAUGUACACAGAGUUUGAGGCCAAAUUAAGGGCAGAGCAUUUCUUCUUUGUAUAUAUUUCCAUUAUAACUUAUAACACCAAAGAUAAAAA